GGGCAUAGCCGCAUAGGUGAUAGGUUCAUGGAGCGUGGUUGAGAGACUCUUAUGGAGCGUGGAGAUUGAGUUCACAAAGGAAACCUCAAAGCCCCUAGUCCCCACCAAAAUGUUUCUUACCAAACCAAAGAAAGUAACAAAGUCCCUCAUCUUUCUUUCAUCGCAUCCCUUCAGAAGUUCCUCUUCCUCUCUCCUUCUCCUCUCUUUCUCUCUCUCCCUCCCUGGAACUUUCUGUAAAUAAAGUCUCCUGUGAGACUGGAUAGACCACGGCCAUCGUUGGCCUGCUAGCCUUCUGCAAUUUUAGCUCAAGAUAGCGACCUUACGGUUCCUAAUACUGGUCAAUACGUUGCGUACUGCGAGGGAGGGAGAUCUAGUUUCGUUUUAGCAGAAUGGAGGAUGAGAAAGAGGCUUUGGUGCAGAGUUUGAUUGAUAAGGUGAACCAGAUUGGUUCGAUCUCUGAUUAUAAGUGUACGGUGAAGAAGCAGUAUUGCAAUUUAGCUAGGAGAUUGAAGCUGUUGACGCCAUUGUUCGAGGAGAUUAGAGAGAGUAAGGAGCCGAUUCCUGAAGAGACUGCGAAAGCUUUAGAUUUGUUAAAACAAGCUCUGGAUUCGGCUAAUGAGUUGCUCAGAUUUGGCAGCGAAGGCAGUAAGAUUUACCUGGUCUUGGAGAGGGAGCAAAUUAUGAAUAAGUAUCAUGAGGUGACAACUAAGUUCGAACAAGCUCUAAGUGGAAUUUCCUAUGAAAACCUGGACAUAUCAGAUGAAGUUAAGGAACAGGUUGAGCUUGUCCAUGCUCAGUUCAGAAGAGCAAAAGGGAGGGUCGAUCCUCCUGAUGUUGAGCUGUUGGAAGAUCUCUUAUCCCUUUACAACAAGAGCAAAGAUGCAGCAGUAGAUCCAGCUGUCCUAAGAAGAUCAUCUGAGAAGUUGCAAUUGAAAGGGAUAGCUGACCUCACACAAGAGUCAUUAGCCUUGCAUGAAAUGGUUGCCGCCACUGGUGGUGAUCCUGGUGAGAACAUUGAAAAAAUGUCGAUGCUAUUAAAGAAAAUUAAAGACUUUGUGCAAACAGAAAACCCCAACAUGGAUGCUUCUGCAAUAGAAAAAAAUCAUCAUCCAGGUGGCAGUGGACAAGCUUCCAUCAAUGGGAAUCAGAGGGCCACAGUUAUACCAGAUGACUUCCGCUGCCCAAUAUCCCUGGAAAUGAUGAAAGAUCCUGUUAUUGUUUCAACAGGGCAGGUAUAUUCAUGCUGGAUUCCUGUCCUAUAAUAGAAAGACAAUGGUCAUUUUCCAAUCUGCUAGUUGAUUACAUCAUAACCACAGAAUGUUCUGAAGAUGGUUCUUGUCAUCAGAGAACUAUUUUUUAGAUUCUUUAGAGAUGAGAGUAAACACCUAAUGGGUUGACUUUUAAUUUUAUUGGCAUCUUGCUAGAACUCUUCCCUGCAGAUGUGCCUUGUCUAAGCAGUCUUGGGACUUGGUAUGUCUUUCUCCCUCUGUCUAUUUAACAAGUUUCAUUUGUCCUUUUCGUAGACCUAUGAGCGUUCCUGCAUUGGGAAGUGGCUGGAAGCAGGACAUUGCACAUGUCCAAAGACGCAACAGUCCCUCAACAGUACUGUCAUCACACCCAAUUAUGUACUGCGCAGCCUCAUAGCCCAGUGGUGUGAAGCAAAUGGUGUUGAACCCCCAAAACUACCUAGCAGCAACAAAAUCACAUCUGCCUGCUCAUCUGCUGAGUUUGCAAAGAUUGAAAUUCUUCUUCGCAGACUCAGAUCUGAUAGCCCUGAAGACCAGCGAUGUGCUGCAGGUGAGAUCCGCCUUCUUGCCAAGCGGAAUGCAGAUAAUCGUGUGGCUAUUGCUGAAGCUGGCGCAAUCCCUCUCCUUGUGGGCCUCCUCUCAACACCCGACACUCGCACCCAAGAGCAUGCUGUCACUGCACUUCUUAACCUUUCCAUAUGUGAAGAUAACAAAGGAAACAUCAUGUCAUCUGGGGCAGUUCCUGGUAUAGUGCGUGUGCUCAAGAAGGGCAGCAUGGAAGCUCGGGAAAAUGCAGCAGCUACCCUUUUCAGUCUUUCAGUUGUGGAUGAAAAUAAAGUUAUAAUAGGUUCUUCAGGGGCCAUCCCACCACUUGCGACACUUCUAAGUGAGGGUACACAAAGGGGGAAAAAAGAUGCUGCAACUGCACUUUUCAACUUGUGCAUCUAUCAGGGGAACAAGGGAAAGGCAGUGAGGGCUGGAGUUGUGCCCACACUAAUGCGUCUGCUGACAGAACCUGGAGGUGGAAUGGUGGAUGAAGCGCUUGCCAUUUUAGCGAUUCUAGCUAGCCACCUUGAAGGGAAGGCAGCCAUUGGAUCUGCAGAGGCAGUGCCAGUUUUGGUGGAAGUUAUCAGAAAUGGAUCCCCAAGGAACAGAGAGAAUGCAGCUGCAGUUUUGGUGCACCUUUGUGCUGGAGACCAUAAACAUUUGGCAGAAGCACAAGAGCUUGGAGUAAUGGGGCCUCUAGUCGAUUUGGCUCAAAAUGGCACAGACCGGGGAAAGAGGAAGGCUCAACAAUUGAUUGAGCGUAUGAGCUGGUUUGUUGAGCAGCAAAAUCAGGAUCAGGCACAAACUGAAGCUCAGACGCAACUACCCCAGCCAUCCUUCAUGUCAAAUUCUGCUGAUAGCUGACAUAUUUUGUUCACCAUUUUCAAGAUUUUUUUUUUUUUUUUGGAGAUGCAACCUUGGUUUAGAAGUGAAGGUGGAAGAUCACCUGCCCAGCUUGUAAGUUAUUCAUUUGUUAAUGUUGGACGAGGACUGCACUUAAAAGAGAUUAUCCAGAGAUCGAUCUAAGGGGAAAAAAAGAGAAAAGGAAACAGAAAUACCAUGCGACAAUGUAUGUGAAUUGUACCAUUUUAACGUGUAAUCAUCCUCAGUUUUUGCUGAAGAGAUGUGUCCCGCAUUCAAAGUGAAACCAUGUAAUUGAUCAAUGAUGGAAAUGGAGAAAUCAGAAGAACAUGAAACCAUCUGUUGUCUCUGAAUUGUUUAAAGAGCAUAUAUUAAUAUAAUUAUUUAUCUGCUUAUUGAGG
rnacentral:misc_RNA from 1 species